AGUAGUUUCCUCUGGUGCACAAACCAAAAUACACCAGAAAGAGUUAUUGCCCUUUGUAACACUCUCUUGUAUUGGAGAUAUGAACAGCCUUCAUUUGUUUUCAGUAUGGCAGGAGGUGGAAAUUGAGUUUUUAUUCAAUUUGUUCUUCAGAUGUUUAUCAAUAUCAGAUGCUCUUUGUUCACUUAAUUCACUACCACGAUCUUUAUCUUCAAUUGUGCUAAAGGAUUCCGGUUUAUUUCAUGGAAUACAAAUCCGUUUGAUCUUUGCCAUAGUCACCGGACUCUAGCAUCCAAUCGUCUACGUAUUCGUAGAAAAAGUAAAUGUUGUGGAAUUUAACGCUUUAUUGCAUCACAUCCGAUUGAAAAAAUGACCUGGGAAACAGAAGGUUGACAGAUAUAUUCAUAGAAAAUAUGAAAAAGCCCUGCCUGUUGCCGUGUUGGAACUUGUAUUGACCUGUAUGAGCAUCAUACUGUGCAAAUCACCUAAAGAUGGAGUUGACCAAGUUGCUGACUUUGAGGAGAACUUGAAGAGCAGAAGAUGCAUCCCAUGACUCUUAUAUGAUAUAGAAGACAAAGAAGAGCUCUUGAGUAUGGAAAAAAACCUGCGAGUUUUACAGUCUAUGAACACACCUCACGACACAAGUCCAUCCUGAUUCAGUAAACUGUUCUUCUAAGGAAACACCAUGACUUAGUUAAGAUCAAGUUUUGGUGUCAGAAGACUAAUGUAACUAAAACAUUGCAAAAUUAACCUGCAAGUGUCUUAUGUGAGCCUACUGAAUAAGGAUUCAUUACUGAACAGUUGAAGGAAAAUCACUAUCAUAAUGAUUUUUAAAAAAAGAUGAUUGUGUUGUUUGGAUAACAUUGUGAUCCAUGUUUGUUGAAUAAACAACUUUGCAAAAAUGAGUUGUUCUGUGUUAAUAUUAUAAAUUUACUAAUUACUGGUAUGUCAACAUAGAUUACAGUAACACUGAACAAACUUCAAUAAAUUUUAAAGUUUCAUGCAGUUUCUGCAGUAGAAAAUGACACCUAUUGAUUUUCUGGUCCAAAGGUCACCAGGUGCAAUACAAUACUCUGUACAAUUGAUGUCUGACUAGUUUCUUCAGAACCCUUUGAUUGAUAGUGAUAUUUCAUACAGGGGUUGGUCAC